GAUGAACGCUGGCGGCGUGCUUAAUACAUGCAAGUCGAGCGAACGGACGAGGCUCUUGCUGUUCUGAUGUUAGCCGAGGGCGGGUGAGUAACACGUGGAACACCUACUUAUCAGACGGGGAUAACUUCGAGAAACCGGAGCUAAUACCGGAUAAUAUUUUGAACCGCAUGGGUCAAAGGAGAAAUACGGUCUUGCUGUCACUUAUCGAUGGUUCCGCGCUGCAUUAGCUAGUUGGUAAGGUAACGGCUUACCAAGGCAACGAGGCGUAGCCGACCUGAGGGGCGGGUCGCCCACACGAGAGCGUGGACGCGGUCCAGACGACUGCGAGAGGCAGCAGAAGGGUAUCUGCCGCAGUAGGCGAGAGCAUGACGGAACGAGGCGGAGUGAGAGAUGAAAGUCUCCGGUGCGUAAAACUCUGUUAUUAGGGAAGAACAGAUGUGUAAGUUGAUGUAGACAUCUUGACGGUACCUAAUCAGAAAGCACCGGCUAACUACGUG
rnacentral:rRNA from 1 species